UACGGCCGUACCAUGCUAAAUAUACCGGUUCUCGUUAGAUCACCGAAGUCAAGCAUCAUUGGGCGCGGUCAGUACUUGGGUGGGUGACCACCUGGGAACACUGCGUGCCGUU
rnacentral:rRNA from 1 species